GGAGAAAGAACACUGUCAGUCCAUGCAUACAAUAUAUAAUGUAUGUCUGAAUUAAUGUACAGUAAUAAGCAGAAAUGUGAUAUCUUGGAGUUUUCUGAUCAGUACUGUACAUACUUUCCCUGAACUCCUGUAAGCUGAUACAUUUUUAUUAACUUACAGAUCUUGUGGAGAGAGAAGAAAGUUGCCCAUCUCCAGAAAAUUUUCUCAAACCUGGCCCUGCUCCAGAAAAGGAUGAGCCCAGGACCCAGUGGAGCCAGAAUCUGUCCAGCUGUCUAGGGAUACUGGUCUUAGGCUGCACCGUACUCCACCCCACCUCAGCUCGACCUGAAGCUCCGGGGCCAGAACAACAGGAAGUUGUCUUCUCAGAGCCCAGAGUCGGGUAAGGCUACAGCCUUGGGCCUGCCUCCUCUCAGCAGCCA
rnacentral:lncRNA from 1 species